rnacentral:rRNA from 1 species
CGGGGUGCACCAGGCGCGAAAACUCUACAAUGCAGGCAACUGCGAUAGGGGAACAUCGAGUGAUCCUCAUAUUGGGGGUCUGUCCCACCGUCUAAAAAACGGUGGUUAGCAAGGGCCGGGCAAGACCGGUGCCAGCCGCCGCGGUAAUACCGGCGGCUCGAGUGGUGGCCGAUAUUAUUGAGUCUAAAGGGUCCGUAGCCGGCUUUGCAGGUCUUUUGGGAAAUCCAGCGGCUUAACCGUUGGUCGUCCGGGAGAUACUACAUUGCUUGGGACUGGGAGAGGUAGGAGGUACUCAGGGGGUAGGAGUGAAAUCCUGUAAUCCUUUGGGGACCACCGGUGGCGAAGGCGUCCUACCAGAACAGGUCCGACGGUGAGGGACGAAAGCUAGGGGCACGAACCGGAUUAGAUACCCGGGUAGUCCUAGCCGUAAACGAUGCUCGCUAGGUGUCACAACAAUCGUGAAUUGUUGUGGUGCCGUAGGGAAGCCGUGAAGCGAGCCACUUGGGAAGUACGACCGCAAGGUUGAAACUUAAAGGAAUUGGCGGGGGAGCACAAGGGCGAAUGCGG